rnacentral:lncRNA from 1 species
UUUUGCUUCUUAGAUUUUCUUUGUUGCCAAACGUAAGCAAAUGUUGAAAGAGCCUCUUCAUAAUCCUCCUAAAUUGUUGUUAACAUCCUAUUCUUUUUGAAGCCCUAACACUUGAGAAUAUUACUAUUUUCUCUGUUCCACAGUCAGAGUAAAUCCCUGUGAAUUCUACUCAAGUCAGAAUAGAAUUCUGCUCAGAAGAUAGAAGAAGUUCCACUGAUGCAAGGGAUGUCACAGGAUGGCUGUGAGGCUGGGAUCCCCCUGACUAAUGUAAAGGCUCUGCCCAGGACUUUUCCAGAAAUGAGGUAGUCACAGAGGAACAGAGAUCUCCCAGCCUGAAGUAACAGGUUUGCUGGUUAUCCUUCCCUGGGGCUGAUCAGAGACAGCAAGAGCAACUUGAGCUGGCUGCACAGAGCUGCUCUGGAGCUCAGCACCCAAGAGAGUAUUGGUAGAAAACUGCA